UCUUUACAGAUCAGACCUCCAUUCUCCAUUCCCCUGAUGACUCAGGCCUGAAGGUCUGAGGCCCCUGAGGGACCUGGAUUUUUCAGUUUAAGUGUGUCCAGUCCACUGCCAGCCCACCAAGGAAAGAGAGACGGGAAGGAAGCCUCAUCCCGUGCAGUGCACCAUUGGCAAUACUAAGAAAUGGAGCCAGGACCUUGAGAGGUACCCAAAGGAAGAUUAUGGCAGAGAACCAGGGCUCAACAUUAAGGAAGAUAAUUGAAGUCAGCCUAAUCAUGGCACAGACAACUAGAGGGAGAUUGUUCCACUCCCUUUCUGAAAUUUCUGAAAUCCAUCUACAGAAUCGAGGUCGGUAAUCCUCAUCUUUGUCCAUGUUUCCUAAGUCACAAGGACAAGCAGAAAAAGGAAAAGAUAACACCUGUGUGGUUCCCCCAGAAGAAGGAGUAAGAUAUACACAUCUCUGAAGUCCCGGCCAUGAAAUGGAUAGAAAUGGCAGAAUUCAAGCUGGAGUUUUACAAGUUGAAUGUACAGUGGCUCCUAACCUCUUCCCAAAGGGCAGAUGAUCCUUUAUUCUUAAGGGAAAGUGAGCCUCACUGAAGUUGCAG
rnacentral:lncRNA from 1 species